GACGAACGCUGGCGGCGUGCUUAACACAUGCAAGUCGAACGGAAAGGCCCUGCUUUUGUGGGGUGCUCGAGUGGCGAACGGGUGAGUAACACGUGAGUAACCUGCCCUUGACUUUGUGAUAACUUCAGGAAACUGGGGCUAAUACCGGAUAGGAGCUCCUGCUGCAUGGUGGGGGUUGGAAAGUUUCGGCGGUUGGGGAUGGACUCGCGGCUUAUCAGCUUGUUGGUGGGGUAGUGGCUUACCAAGGCUUUGACGGGUAGCCGGCCUGAGCGGGUGACCGGCCACAUUGGGACUAAGGUACGGACCAGAGUCCUACGGGAGGCAGCGGUGGCGAAUAUUGCACAAUGGGGGGAAGCCUGAUGCAGCAACGUCGCGUGCGGGAUGACGGCCUUCGGGUGGUAAACCGCUUUCGCCUGUGACGAAGCGUGAGUGACGGUAAUGGGUAAAGAAGCACCGGCUAACUACGUG
rnacentral:rRNA from 1 species